rnacentral:rRNA from 1 species
AGUGAACGCUGGCGGUAGGCCUAACACAUGCAAGUCGAACGGCAGCACAGUAAGAGCUUGCUCUUACGGGUGGCGAGUGGCGGACGGGUGAGGAAUACAUCGGAAUCUACUUUUUCGUGGGGGAUAACGUAGGGAAACUUACGCUAAUACCGCAUACGACCUACGGGUGAAAGCAGGGGAUCUUCGGACCUUGCGCGAUUGAAUGAGCCGAUGUCGGAUUAGCUAGUUGGCGGGGUAAAGGCCCACCAAGGCGACGAUCCGUAGCUGGUCUGAGAGGAUGAUCGGCCACACUGGAACUGAGACACGGUCCAGACUCCUACGGGAGGCAGCAGUGGGGAAUAUUGGACAAUGGGCGCAAGCCUGAUCCAGCCAUACCGCGUGGGUGAAGAAGGCCUUCGGGUUGUAAAGCCCUUUUGUUGGGAAAGAAAAGCAGCAGGUUAAUACCCCGCUGUUCUGACGGUACCCAAAGAAUAAGCACCGGCUAACUACGUG